CACGUAGGGCGCAAGCGUUGUCCGGAAUUACUGGGCGUAAAGCGUGCGCAGGCGGCUUUGCAAGACAGAUGUGAAAUCCCCGGGCUUAACCUGGGAACUGCAUUUGUGACUGCAUGGCUGGAGUGCGGCAGAGGGGGAUGGAAUUCCGCGUGUAGCAGUGAAAUGCGUAGAUAUGCGGAGGAACACCGAUGGCGAAGGCAGUCCCCUGGGCCUGCACUGACGCUCAUGCACGAAAGCGUGGGGAGCAAACAGG
rnacentral:rRNA from 1 species